UGACUUCGAGUUUAUUCAACCGUGAAAAUGAAAGCUGUCUCUGUCCUGUUGGCUCUGUUUGCAGUGGUUAUACUGGCGUCAGCGGACCUGUCUAAUUUCUUCGUCCGUCAGUGGUACAACAAUCCGUACAGCGCGAUGGCGGGACGCUCCAAUCUGAGUCCCUACGGUCCGAGGCCGGGAUACGGAGGCUUUGGUGGGAGCUCCUAUGGAUUCAGUUCCGGUCAAUCGUCCUCCAUGGAAUUUGAUUAGAAAUGCAAUAUAAGCUGAUCUGAUCGACUGGAAAUUCCAUCUUCGGUAUGUCGUACGGUGCUAACUACAAGUAUCAAGACCUUCCUUUUUUCAAUUAAUCUAAAUUAUAUUGAUGUCCACUGUAUUAAAACUAUUCAAAACGAU